rnacentral:rRNA from 1 species
AGAGUUUGAUCAUGGCUCAGAUUGAACGCUGGCGGCAGGCCUAACACAUGCAAGUCGAGCGGUAGCACAGAGAGCUUGCUCUCGGGUGACGAGCGGCGGACGGGUGAGUAAUGUCUGGGAAACUGCCUGAUGGAGGGGGAUAACUACUGGAAACGGUAGCUAAUACCGCAUAAUGUCGCAAGACCAAAGUGGGGGACCUUCGGGCCUCAUGCCAUCAGAUGUGCCCAGAUGGGAUUAGCUAGUAGGUGAGGUAACGGCUCACCUAGGCGACGAUCCCUAGCUGGUCUGAGAGGAUGACCAGCCACACUGGAACUGAGACACGGUCCAGACUCCUACGGGAGGCAGCAGUGGGGAAUAUUGCACAAUGGGCGCAAGCCUGAUGCAGCCAUGCCGCGUGUGUGAAGAAGGCCUUCGGGUUGUAAAGCACUUUCAGCGGGGAGGAAGGCGAUAAGGUUAAUAACCUCAUCGAUUGACGUUACCCGCAGAAGAAGCACCGGCUAACUCCGUGCCAGCAGCCGCGGUAAUACGGAGGGUGCAAGCGUUAAUCGGAAUUACUGGGCGUAAAGCGCACGCAGGCGGUCUGUCAAGUCGGAUGUGAAAUCCCCGGGCUCAACCUGGGAACUGCAUUCGAAACUGGCAGGCUAGAGUCUUGUAGAGGGGGGUAGAAUUCCAGGUGUAGCGGUGAAAUGCGUAGAGAUCUGGAGGAAUACCGGUGGCGAAGGCGGCCCCCUGGACAAAGACUGACGCUCAGGUGCGAAAGCGUGGGGAGCAAACAGGAUUAGAUACCCUGGUAGUCCACGCCGUAAACGAUGUCGAUUUGGAGGUUGUGCCCUUGAGGCGUGGCUUCCGGAGCUAACGCGUUAAAUCGACCGCCUGGGGAGUACGGCCGCAAGGUUAAAACUCAAAUGAAUUGACGGGGGCCCGCACAAGCGGUGGAGCAUGUGGUUUAAUUCGAUGCAACGCGAAGAACCUUACCUGGUCUUGACAUCCACAGAACUUUCCAGAGAUGGAUUGGUGCCUUCGGGAACUGUGAGACAGGUGCUGCAUGGCUGUCGUCAGCUCGUGUUGUGAAAUGUUGGGUUAAGUCCCGCAACGAGCGCAACCCUUAUCCUUUGUUGCCAGCGGUCCGGCCGGGAACUCAAAGGAGACUGCCAGUGAUAAACUGGAGGAAGGUGGGGAUGACGUCAAGUCAUCAUGGCCCUUACGACCAGGGCUACACACGUGCUACAAUGGCAUAUACAAAGAGAAGCGACCUCGCGAGAGCAAGCGGACCUCAUAAAGUAUGUCGUAGUCCGGAUUGGAGUCUGCAACUCGACUCCAUGAAGUCGGAAUCGCUAGUAAUCGUAGAUCAGAAUGCUACGGUGAAUACGUUCCCGGGCCUUGUACACACCGCCCGUCACACCAUGGGAGUGGGUUGCAAAAGAAGUAGGUAGCUUAACCUUCGGGAGGGCGCUUACCACUUUGUGAUUCAUGACUGGGGUGAAGUCGUAACAAGGUAACCGUAGGGGAACCUGCGGUUGGAUCACCU